rnacentral:rRNA from 1 species
AUUGAACGCUGGCGGCAGGCCUAACACAUGCAAGUCGAGCGGAAACGAGUUAUCUGAACCUUCGGGGGACGAUAACGGCGUCGAGCGGCGGACGGGUGAGUAAUGCCUAGGAAAUUGCCCUGAUGUGGGGGAUAACCAUUGGAAACGAUGGCUAAUACCGCAUGAUGCCUACGGGCCAAAGAGGGGGACCUUCGGGCCUCUCGCGUCAGGAUAUGCCUAGGUGGGAUUAGCUAGUUGGUGAGGUAAGGGCUCACCAAGGCGACGAUCCCUAGCUGGUCUGAGAGGAUGAUCAGCCACACUGGAACUGAGACACGGUCCAGACUCCUACGGGAGGCAGCAGUGGGGAAUAUUGCACAAUGGGCGCAAGCCUGAUGCAGCCAUGCCGCGUGUAUGAAGAAGGCCUUCGGGUUGUAAAGUACUUUCAGUCGUGAGGAAGGUGGUGUAGUUAAUAGCUGCAUUAUUUGACGUUAGCGACAGAAGAAGCACCGGCUAACUCCGUGCCAGCAGCCGCGGUAAUACGGAGGGUGCGAGCGUUAAUCGGAAUUACUGGGCGUAAAGCGCAUGCAGGUGGUUUGUUAAGUCAGAUGUGAAAGCCCGGGGCUCAACCUCGGAAUAGCAUUUGAAACUGGCAGACUAGAGUACUGUAGAGGGGGGUAGAAUUUCAGGUGUAGCGGUGAAAUGCGUAGAGAUCUGAAGGAAUACCGGUGGCGAAGGCGGCCCCCUGGACAGAUACUGACACUCAGAUGCGAAAGCGUGGGGAGCAAACAGGAUUAGAUACCCUGGUAGUCCACGCCGUAAACGAUGUCUACUUGGGAGGUUGUGGCCUUGAGCCGUGGCUUUCGGAGCUAACGCGUUAAGUAGACCGCCUGGGGAGUACGGUCGCAAGAUUAAAACUCAAAUGAAUUGACGGGGGCCCGCACAAGCGGUGGAGCAUGUGGUUUAAUUCGAUGCAACGCGAAGAACCUUACCUACUCUUGACAUCCAGAGAACUUUCCAGAGAUGGAUUGGUGCCUUCGGGAACUCUGAGACAGGUGCUGCAUGGCUGUCGUCAGCUCGUGUUGUGAAAUGUUGGGUUAAGUCCCGCAACGAGCGCAACCCUUAUCCUUGUUUGCCAGUGAGUAAUGUCGGGAACUCCAGGGAGACUGCCGGUGAUAAACCGGAGGAAGGUGGGGACGACGUCAAGUCAUCAUGGCCCUUACGAGUAGGGCUACACACGUGCUACAAUGGCGCAUACAGAGGGCGGCCAACUUGCGAAAGUGAGCGAAUCCCAAAAAGUGCGUCGUAGUCCGGAUUGGAGUCUGCAACUCGACUCCAUGAAGUCGGAAUCGCUAGUAAUCGUGGAUCAGAAUGCCACGGUGAAUACGUUCCCGGGCCU